ACGUUUAAUUUUGGCGUAUGAAAGAAGGCCCACUAUCCACUACAUAGAAGCAUUGUGUUAGCUUAGGGGGUGGGGUUGCCUCUCUUAGUCUAGUAGUUAGUAUUUUAUUUUAGCGGAAGCUAUUUAAGGAUAGUGGGUGUAAAGGGGAUAGGGCACAGUGCCAGCAUCCGCGGUUAUUCUGAUCUCUUUUCUUUUUUUUUGGCAGGGGUUGAUAUAAUGAGAAUAAGAUGUGUAGAAACUUUUAUUUUUUAUUACUUGUAUCGGGCUUAAGUUAAUUAGUUUGGUAAAACGUGGAUUAGAUACCCACUUAUUUACUAGGUUAAUGUGCUAUAGUUUAUAUAACUAAAAAAUUUUGGCAGCAGGUGACAUCUAUUCGGGGGAGUGUGCUUCAUAAGGGACGAUCCGCCAAUUAAUAGACCAUUUUUAUGCUGGUGUAUAUCUGGUUUAAUAUUAGUGCUGUAAUAGCUAAAUUUGUGUAGUGUUAAUUAAGCCAAGUCUAUGUGCUGCGUAUAAUGGGUGCUAGUGCAUUACAAUAAUAAGAUUUAAGUGGUAGUAUCUUAUGUUGUGUUAGGACUCGAUAGUAAUGUUACUUUAACUUGGUAACGUGAAUAAAGUUUAGCCUGGGUACACACCGCCCGUCACCCUCGUCUUUUGUUGAGGUAAGUCGUAACAAGGUAGCCCUAGAUGAAUCUAGGGCUAAGUUUUAAGGAAU
rnacentral:ncRNA from 1 species